rnacentral:lncRNA from 1 species
UUAUGUUAUUUAGUGUUGAUUAGGUGGAUAAUGUUGGAAAAUAUACUAUUGACGGAAAUUUAAAAAAUUAAAUUUUUUUUUCAGGUUCUAAAAGGUAGACUUACUGCCCAUUACAGAGAGAUGUUCGGUGAGCCGGGUAGUCACCAACCGACGACUCACAUGUCGAAGCGGAUGUAACGGCGAGGAGUGAUGAAUUCUACCGGGCGGUUAACGAUCCUUAGUUCUUUUUAAUUUCGGUUCUUGUAUUAUG